UACAGAGGUCCCAAGCGUUGUUCGGAUUCACUGGGCGUAAAGGGUGCGUAGGCGGUUCGACAAGUCGGGUGUGAAAACUCCGGGCUCAACCCGGAGACGCCACCCGAUACUGUCGUGACUGGAGUCCGGUAGGGGAGUGGGGAAUUCCUGGUGUAGCGGUGAAAUGCGCAGAUAUCAGGAGGAACACCGGUGGCGAAGGCGCCACUCUGGGCCGGUACUGACGCUGAGGAGCGAAAGCGUGGGUAGCAAACAGG
rnacentral:rRNA from 1 species